rnacentral:rRNA from 2 species
CGGGCGUUAAGUUGCAGGGUAUAGACCCGAAACCCGGUGAUCUAGCCAUGGGCAGGUUGAAGGUUGGGUAACACUAACUGGAGGACCGAACCGACUAAUGUUGAAAAAUUAGCGGAUGACCUGUGGCUGGGGGUGAAAGGCCAAUCAAACCGGGAGAUAGCUGGUUCUCCCCGAAAGCUAUUUAGGUAGCGCCUCGUGAAUUCAUCUCCGGGGGUAGAGCACUGUUUCGGCUAGGGGGCCAUCCCGGCUUACCAACCCGAUGCAAACUGCGAAUACCGGAGAAUGUUAUCACGGGAGACACACGGCGGGUGCUAACGUCCGUCGUGAAGAGGGAAACAACCCAGACCGCCAGCUAAGGUCCCAAAGUCAUGGUUAAGUGGGAAACGAUGUGGGAAGGCCCAGACAGCCAGGAUGUUGGCUUAGAAGCAGCCAUCAUUUAAAGAAAGCGUAAUAGCUCACUGGUCGAGUCGGCCUGCGCGGAAGAUGUAACGGGGCUAAACCAUGCACCGAAGCUGCGGCAGCGACACUGUGUGUUGUUGGGUAGGGGAGCGU